UAUUGUGCUGAAUCCUAUAAAAGAAAACAGGUACGGAGGAACCAAGAAACAGGGGUUAAUCUUUAUGUAUUUAAAGAAGGGUAAACCUUUACCUAACCCGUCAGCUAACUUCGGAAGCAGGAAAGGUGG
rnacentral:sRNA from 1 species